AUAAGCAAUGGAUACAAUGCGCUUGAGAAGUAGUCCCAAGAAACGUUGCUGGAUCUGAAGUGACAUCAGUAAUCGUCGGCAGUGUAGCAGUGGAUGGUGAGCUCUGUGUAGAAAAGGUGUUUGAAGAAGUGGAAGAAGCCCAUGAACAUGAGAAAAAUCCGGACGUGUCUUCCUCGGCUUCGUCCAGCAGUUCAUAAGCCUGUACUGCCAGCGUACGAAUGAGAAGCACGAGGCUACUGCGCACUCCACACAGCAGUCCAUAGCAGGCGGAAACAACGUGGCGUGUGGCGCGUAGCUACCAAACUUGUCGCGGAAAACCUCCAGUAUAUGGUUUCAGAGUAUGGAAAGUGUUGCAGUGCGCCACAGCGCGCCGCUGCCCGCCGCGGUCAGCGACCUCCGCCGCUGCCAGCGCCAACAGCUGAUCGCCGCACCUUGCACCGCCACUCGCCAUGUCUCACACCACCGCCGUCGAGCAAACUCCGUC